UACGUAGGGUGCGAGCGUUGUCCGGAAUUAUUGGGCGUAAAGAGCGUGUAGGCGGUCCGGUAAGUCCGCUGUGAAAGUCGGGGGCUCAACCCUCGAAUGCCGGUGGAUACUGUCGGGCUAGAGUGCGGAAGAGGCGAGUGGAAUUCCUGGUGUAGCGGUGAAAUGCGCAGAUAUCAGGGAAGAACACCUAGUCGAAAGGCG
rnacentral:rRNA from 1 species